GGCAGGGUUGGGAUAGCGCAAGUGAGCUGAACUUCUGCGCUGCUGUAGUGCACUAUCCUCAAUUUAAUACUUUAUUUCAGAAAUUAUUUUCUUUGACGAAAACAGCUCUAGCCUCGUGUGUUUUUAUCAACACCGCUAACGACUGUCGGAUUUGCUCUUCUCUCAGUAAUUAACGGUUUAUUGGGAAGUUGAGAUGUUUACAGUGAUAUCCGGGGUUUCCAGUGCCAUCAGAUCUUGUGAUUUCUGAAAGCAGGUAAGCCACUGACUAACGCACAUUGCGCCUAUUCUCCACUCCACUGUGCGUGUGACAGCGGCUAACCAGCUUUUGGAUGAGUGCCUGACUUCAGCGUCCCACUGGAGAGUCCUGAGCGGCUCGAGGCGGAUACGGCCCCUGGAGGGACGCUUUUGGGUCCCCGUCCCUCCACAAGUCUGUUUGUUCCUGUAGCUCAGCUGGUAAAGCACUGCGCUUGAAACCCAGAGGUUGUGGGUUUGAAUCCCAAUGUGUAAAUGUGCUCCUGAUUAAACUUUCAGCUCUAGAUGAAGCUGUUUCGCUCAUUCGUAGUUUUAUAUGUAAUAAUAAUGUUGUUUUUGCAUGUAUGCAGCAGCUCUGAACUUUUGAACUUUUGCACUUAUGUAAAUCCAGUUAUGGUGGCUGUGGGAGCGUCACUGUGUAAACCACUCUGAAUCAUAUUCACACUCGGCCUGUUAGCUGUGCUUUAAUUGAUCAAGUAAUAAUUAAACUUUCAUUCCGAUCUGCGUUUUUGAACUGUAUAGAUAUACAGUAAAUGUUUUCCUUUUUCAAUAUGUUGGUGAUUUCAUGAUAUGACACUUAAUUGUAUUAUAUUGCAUUUUAGUAUAAAAAUAUAUAUUUUUUAAAAAUAUAAAAUGUAAUGUUUCUGUAUACCUUAUAUUAUAUAUAAUAUAUAAAACCUAAAAAUAUAGAAAAUAAAUCUAAAAAUGUUUUAGUAUAAAAGUUGUGCAAUUUUGCUAAAGAAAUGGGUGAUGUGGUGCAACACUAAAUUAUUAACAAUAAAAAAUGCAUUCUAUUUAAAAUAUUAA